UGUUCGAGCGUCAUUUAAACACUCAAGCUCUGCUUGGUUUUGGGCUCGGGUCCUAAGGAGACCCGCCCGCAACUCGUUGGUGGUCGGUUCCGGCUCCGAGCGUAGCAAAACCUCUCGCUCUCGAGACGGCGCCUUCCCGCCCGGAAAGCUCAUCUCUAAAGUUUGACCUCGGAUCAGGUAGGGAUACCCGCUGAACUUAA
rnacentral:misc_RNA from 1 species